AAUGAAGUAUUUUAUGCUCUCUUAAGGGACUCACUUGUAUUGUGCAUUAUAUUUGUUAUAAUGCUUACAGAUAGAGAAAUGUCAGAUGCUGUCUCGUGGCCAAACAACCUUGCUUGGAGCCUCUACUGGACCAGCACAAAGGGUGGUGGAAGAACCUCAUGCUGCUGAAACAGCAAAGAAGGCCAUGGAGCAGAGUCAGCCUGACUCCCAGCCUCAUCCCAUGCCCCUGCCCCAGCCCCAGCCUACUGCACCUGUGGAAGCAAGAGUUGCAACACAAUUUUCAAUGGUAAGAAUUACUAUUUAACUUUUUUAAUAAUACCACUUAAGAAUGUGCUCAAUUAAAAUUCAAGAAAGUUCAGAACGUAAGAUGAAGAAAAAAAGAAAAAGCAAGAAUGCUAUGAGAUGCUGGCUGAGACCUACUAAUUGUCACCCCUCUUGUACAGUGGGGGCACCUGUUGUCUGCUGAAUGGUCAGUUUGAAUAUCUCAGAUUUGGUUUAAGUCACAUGGUCAAGGAUAAAUGUAGAAUGUAACCUGUCUGCUUUCUCUCUUGAGACUAGACUCAUGUCCCUCAUGGCAUCUCUCUCAAUACUUCUCAUGUGUUAAAGCUACAUUAUCUUUCUUUCUCAAUCUCAGGUAACAUACCACAUAGACGCUGGCUAUUAUUAACUGUACACAUAUUAACAAUUAUUCCAUCAUGCAAAUACUUUGUAGUAAUUUCAGGAGUCAAUACUGCUAAUAAAUAUGGAUGACACUUCUAUUCAGAAAGAAAUGUUUUUAAAAACCUGCAUUUACUUAAAAUAGUAAUAUUAAUUAAUUCUUCGUAAUUCUUGCUAUUAUAACACAUUCUGUCUUCUCACAUUUUUGAUUUACCAAACCAAGAUUUACUGGCUCUCACAUUGCUGCAGCAAAGCCAAAUCUUAGUGUGGUCAGGAGACCUUCUCAGGUUGAAGACCUACCCAGCGCAGCAGUGUCUUGUGCCUCUAUACCAAGCAGUACUGUCUCUGGUGUGCCAGUGUUCCAGGGUCUGCAAAUGGUUCAGAGACUGUCAGCGGUCCAUAGGAUGCCACUGUUACAGCCUAUUGUGCAGAGCACCAAUUCUCAACCAGCUCCACAAACCAUGCCCAAGAGACCCUACAAGGCAAACACUUGCAGGAAGUGUGGACAAUUCAAAACCAGUGCAACGGGACAUAGCCAGUACAGGGGCAAGGUGUAUAUACUGUCCACAGACUGAGAACAUUACAAAAGAAAAGUGGUUAGAGUAAAUGCGGAGAACCUUCUCCCAAAUAAUGUAUACACUGUAUAUUUUUAUUUAUUGUUGUGUGUAUAUAGUUGUUUAAAUAUAGUUCACUAUUGUUAAUAUUUGUGUCUAACAUUAUUUUAUUUAACUUGAUUUUUUAAUCCUAUUUAACUUUUACUUUUACCUUUUUAAUUUAUUGUUUGAAAACUUCAUUUAAUAUUCAUUACUGUUCUGUUAGCAUAAUUGUAAAAUAAAUAAA